AUUGAACGCUGGCGGCAUGCCUUACACAUGCAAGUCAAACGGUAACGGGCCUUCGGGUGCCGACGAGUGGCGAACGGGUGAGUAAUGCAUCGGAACGUACCUUUCAGUGGGGGAUAACGUAGCGAAAGUUACGCUAAUACCGCAUAUUCUGUGAGCAGGAAAGCAGGGGAUCGCAAGACCUUGCGCUGAUUGAGCGGCCGAUGUCAGAUUAGCUAGUUGGUGAGGUAAAGGCUCACCAAGGCGACGAUCUGUAGCGGGUCUGAGAGGAUGAUCCGCCACACUGGAACUGGGACACGGUCCAGACUCCUACGGGAGGCAGCAGUGGGGAAUUUUGGACAAUGGGGGCAACCCUGAUCCAGCCAUGCCGCGUGAGUGAAGAAGGCCUUCGGGUUGUAAAGCUCUUUCGGCCGGGAAGAAAUCGUAUGGGCUAAUACCCUGUGCGGAUGACGGUACCGGCAUAAGAAGCACCGGCUAACUACGUGCCAGCCGCCGCAGUAAAAC
rnacentral:rRNA from 1 species